rnacentral:rRNA from 1 species
UGUUAGCGGCGGACGGGUGAGUAACACGUGGAUAACCUACCUAUAAGACUGGGAUAACUUCGGGAAACCGGAGCUAAUACCGGAUAAUAUUUUGAACCGCAUGGUUCAAAAGUGAAAGACGGUCUUGCUGUCACUUAUAGAUGGAUCCGCGCUGCAUUAGCUAGUUGGUAAGGUAACGGCUUACCAAGGCAACGAUGCAUAGCCGACCUGAGAGGGUGAUCGGCCACACUGGAACUGAGACACGGUCCAGACUCCUACGGGAGGCAGCAGUAGGGAAUCUUCCGCAAUGGGCGAAAGCCUGACGGAGCAACGCCGCGUGAGUGAUGAAGGUCUUCGGAUCGUAAAACUCUGUUAUUAGGGAAGAACAUAUGUGUAAGUAACUGUGCACAUCUUGACGGUACCUAAUCAGAAAGCCACGGCUAACUACGUGCCAGCAGCCGCGGUAAUACGUAGGUGGCAAGCGUUAUCCGGAAUUAUUGGGCGUAAAGCGCGCGUAGGCGGUUUUUUAAGUCUGAUGUGAAAGCCCACGGCUCAACCGUGGAGGGUCAUUGGAAACUGGAAAACUUGAGUGCAGAAGAGGAAAGUGGAAUUCCAUGUGUAGCGGUGAAAUGCGCAGAGAUAUGGAGGAACACCAGUGGCGAAGGCGACUUUCUGGUCUGUAACUGACGCUGAUGUGCGAAAGCGUGGGGAUCAAACAGGAUUAGAUACCCUGGUAGUCCACGCCGUAAACGAUGAGUGCUAAGUGUUAGGGGGUUUCCGCCCCUUAGUGCUGCAGCUAACGCAUUAAGCACUCCGCCUGGGGAGUACGACCGCAAGGUUGAAACUCAAAGGAAUUGACGGGGACCCGCACAAGCGGUGGAGCAUGUGGUUUAAUUCGAAGCAACGCGAAGAACCUUACCAAAUCUUGACAUCCUUUGACAACUCUAGAGAUAGAGCCUUCCCCUUCGGGGGACAAAGUGACAGGUGGUGCAUGGUUGUCGUCAGCUCGUGUCGUGAGAUGUUGGGUUAAGUCCCGCAACGAGCGCAACCCUUAAGCUUAGUUGCCAU